UACGAAGGGGGCUAGCGUUGUUCGGAAUUACUGGGCGUAAAGCGCGCGCAGGCGGUCUUCCAAGUCAGUGGUGAAAGCCCGGAGCUCAACUCCGGAACUGCCAUUGAAACUGUGAGACUUGAGUACGAGAGAGGUGGAGUGGAAUUCCCAGUGUAGAGGUGAAAUUCGUAGAUAUUGGGAAGAACACCGGUGGCGAAGGCGGCUCACUGGCUCGUAACUGACGCUCGGCGCGACAGCGUGGGGAUC
rnacentral:rRNA from 1 species